rnacentral:rRNA from 1 species
UACGUAGGGUGCGAGCGUUGUCCGGAAUUAUUGGGCGUAAAGAGCUUGUAGGCGGUUUGUCGCGUCUGCCGUGAAAUUUCGGGGCUCAACCCCGAACUUGCGGUGGGUACGGGGCAGGACUAGAGUGUGGUAGGGGAGACUGGAAUUCCUGGUGUAGCGGUGAAAUGCGCAGAUAUCAGGAGGAACACCGAUGGCGAAGGCAGGUCUCUGGGCCACUACUGACGCUGAGAAGCGAAAGCAUGGGGGAGCGAACAGG